GCUCUUUUGAUGUAAUUGGCUAGCAAUUCUAACUGGCAGCUAGAAGAUUCGUGGUUCGACUCCUCGAAAGAAUG
rnacentral:tRNA from 1 species